CAACAUUUGCUAUGCUGACGUCAUUACUGUCAGUCAGACAGAAAUAAAAGAAAAAUGGAUGCCGUUCAGACGUACACGCAUUAUUUGGAACUGAAAAUUACGUAAUUUAUCGACCUGCUGGCUUGUAUUUGUUAUAAAUCAUAAAAAAAUUAUGGAAAACAUCAUGAACAAUAAUGAAACAAACCGAACCUUUAGCUACAAUAAUAAAAUGACCCCAUGACGCCAGUGGAACUACGUGGUUUUCUUUCAUGAUGAUUUGAUGAUACCAUAAUGGAAUUAGCCAAGUUUUCGCCGUAUUGGGUGCUAGAUGCCCCUUGGAGUUAAGCCCAGUGCCACUAUACUACCUUACCAGUUAUGUGUGGGUGUCCUAAGGCACCCCAGAGAUGCAAAGGACCUUCACAAACUCACGCCACGCCUUCCUAUCUUCAGCAACCCUCGUGACCUCGCUCCACCAGCUCAAACCUGCCACUCACAGCUCCUUUUCGACGGACCGCUUCCAUGAGUAGACAAGGCACCGACGAUCACGGCUUGCAUCACCUGUACUGCUAUGUAAUAUAGCAUGCUGAACAAUACUGCCAUUAUACUAGGAUCAACGUCCUGCCCCUUCCCCGGCUGUGUACAAAUUGGAACUCCAUUUGCAUGCCCCUUUGACUGAGCAAUGUGUGUAUGUGCUCGAAACACAUUCACUUGCAACAGAAUGACUCCCAGGCUGACCUGGCUCAGCUCCUGUAUGUCUGUUCUACAUAGACAAUGGUUUCAAUGAAAGAGUGAAAAUUCUUCUCCAUGUACAAUCACUUCUAACGCCUACACUGACUACACCAAAUAUGAUCAUCACUCAACGUGUCUCACAUCAAGAUACUUUUCAAAAAUCAUCAAGAAGUGGAACAAUAUUUUUUUUUCCAUUAUUGCCUGAAUAAUCCUAACUAAAAGUUAUUUCUCUAUUCUAUUUUUCCUGCAUGGAGUGGCGCUUUUCCGUCUAAUGGAAACGAAAUGAACAUAUAUGCUCUGGGUUUUUUUUUUUUGUGCACCUUUCCAAUAUUACUAAUAAAGCAUUU
rnacentral:lncRNA from 1 species